UACGAAGGGGGCUAGCGUUGCUCGGAAUUACUGGGCGUAAAGCGCACGUAGGCGGCUUUGUAAGUUAGAGGUGAAAGCCCGGGGCUCAACCCCGGAAUUGCCUUUAAGACUGCAUCGCUUGAAUCCGGGAGAGGUGAGUGGAAUUCCGAGUGUAGAGGUGAAAUUCGUAGAUAUUCGGAAGAACAUCAGUGGCGAAGGCGGCUCACUGGACCGGUAUUGACGCUGAGGUGCGAAAGCGUGGGGAGCAAACAGG
rnacentral:rRNA from 1 species